rnacentral:rRNA from 1 species
AGUUUGAUCAUGGCUCAGGACGAACGCUGGCGGCGUGCUUAACACAUGCAAGUCGAACGAUGAACCACUUCGGUGGGGAUUAGUGGCGAACGGGUGAGUAACACGUGGGCAAUCUGCCCUUCACUCUGGGACAAGCCCUGGAAACGGGGUCUAAUACCGGAUAUCACCUUCACUGGCAUCUGUGAAGGUUGAAAGCUCCGGCGGUGAAGGAUGAGCCCGCGGCCUAUCAGCUUGUUGGUGAGGUAAUGGCUCACCAAGGCGACGACGGGUAGCCGGCCUGAGAGGGCGACCGGCCACACUGGGACUGAGACACGGCCCAGACUCCUACGGGAGGCAGCAGUGGGGAAUAUUGCACAAUGGGCGAAAGCCUGAUGCAGCGACGCCGCGUGAGGGAUGACGGCCUUCGGGUUGUAAACCUCUUUCAGCAG